ACCAUUUUUCUCUAGCAAUCCUCUAUUAUUUGGUGCUUUCACCUACCCCCGUGCCUCCCCGAUCUUCUAAAGAAGAUAAACAUGUUAAUAACCUCUCCACAAAAUUUCAAGAUCUGCAAUCACAAUUUGAAUCCCAAGUUCCAACCUGGGUCUUGAUAUUCUACCAUGCAAUCUGAGAUCGCCCAAAAUCAAGAUUCACUAUCCUCCAUCAUGGAAACCCUACAUGCUCAUUUUGGGAAUCCAGGUUCAUCUUCCACUGGACCCUCUAUCUCUUCAUCUCCAAUGCACAUCGUUGACAAUAAUUUUAGUUCCUAUAUUCCCCCUAUUUCACUACCAUAUCAAUUUUCCCCACACAUUAUGUAUUUUGACCCAUCUUACCCUAGAACCCCACCUAUUUUCACUAACCAUACUACUGUCACAGUUGCUGGCCCCAAUUUUUUUGGCCAUGGUAACUCUAGCGUUCCUUAUUCUACUACAAUACCUUCAUCCCUUCCAUCUAUUACUUCCAUCAUGAUACCUCCCAAUUCAUCUACCUUUACCCACCAGACCCCACCUCCACCUCCUUUCCCUAACUCACAGAUUCGGCCCCCUAAACUGCAUCUAUUGUUGUUUGAUGGUUCAACAACUAUGGACUGGCUUUUUUAGGUUACAAAAAUGCAAAUUUGCAAGUAUCUACUAUAAUUGUGAUGAGAAGUUUCAUGCAGGGCAUAAGUGUGCAAUUUUAAAUGUCGAGCCAAGCGAGGCUGUAUGAUAUUGUCAUAUUAUUUCAGGCCAAGGUGUUCAACCUGAUCCAAGGGAGAUUCAAGUUAUUGGGGUUGGCCUUCUCCAUGUUCAUUCACAAUACUGCACGGGUUCUUAGAAUUAAAUAGCUUUUAUCGUAUAUUCGUUCAUAAUUGUGUGCCUAUAGUCAUUCCUUUCACCAAUUUGUUGCAUUCUACUACUUUUCAAUGGAGUUUACAGGCCCAACAAGCAUUUAUAGAGUUAAAAGAAAAAAUUACAUUCGUUCCUGUUCUUGCUCUACUAGACUUCAGCUCUCCAUUUGUCAUUGAGACAGACGCUUAUGGUGGAGUAAUAGGUGUAGUUUUGUCCCAGCAUUGUCAUCCUCUUGUCUUCUUCAAUAAUUGCCUUUAUCCUAAGUUUCAGGUCACGUCAAUAUAUGUUCGAGAAAUGUUUGUUGUCACGAAGGCAAUAAAAAAAGUGGUGUCAAUAUUUGGUCAGACAAUACUUUCAAAUAAUCACAGAUCAAAUGAGUUACCUCCGUUGCUUUGUCAAUGAUCACCCUUGCGCAUGGUAUCAAUAUCUCCAUCUAACAGAGUACUGGCACAACACCUCCUUCCACACAGUAUUGGCACCACACCCUUUCAAGCUCUAUAUGGAUGUGCGCCUCUUAACCCCAUUGAUGUGUUGUACGGCCAUUCUUCCACGACCAUUCAACUCCUCCUACAAGAACACAAAAAUAUUUUAAAGGAGGUCAAAAUGCAUCUUUCCAAAGUGCGUCAACAAAUGAAACAUUUUGCAAACCAGCAUCGUCGUGACAUUACAUUUAAGGCCAGCAAUUGGGUUUUGUUAAAGCUUUAGACCUACCAACAAACAUCGUUGCAGCGUUGCACAUCCCAGAAGCUAGCCAAGAGGUAUUAAGGCCCCUUCCAGGUUCACCGCCACAUUGACUUGGUGGCUUAUGAACUGCUCUUGCCAAAACCCUCACACAUUCAUCCAAUGUUCCAUGUUUCGUUGUUGUGCCCUUGCCAAAACCCUCACACAUUCAUCCAAUGUUCCAUGUUUCGUUGUUGUGCCCUUAUAAGGGAGAUGACCCCCUUUGCCAAUUGGGACCCGUAGCCUCAAAGGAGUUUUAUCCUUCUCUCUCAUUGCCUCUCAACAUUUUGGAAGGUGGGAAGGCAACUAAUGAUUCAAACAAAGAUAACUCUUUGUUUGGUGGAGCAGAUGUCGUUUCUUUUGACCAACCAUGUGCCCUUGUCAAUAAUUCAGCCAUUAAUGCUCACUUUCUCCCACCUACCUCUUCAUCCAAGUCAUUGGUAGAAAACACAACUCCAUCUCAUACGUCCAACUCAACACUGAUAUGUGGCUAUUCUAAAGUGACCAAUGACAUUGAGGACAAUGUCAAUUAUGGCUAGGCCGAUAAUGAUACAAAUGAGAUGCCCAAACACAUGACCAGAAGGCCACUAAAGCUCAACGAUUAAACAAUGGAGGGAAUUGGACUUUAAACUAGUAAUAGGUCCAAUUGUUUUUUAGUGGACAAAUUAAGUUCUAGCAUUUUAUUUUUCGUUACAACAUUUAUUUUCCCUAAAUCAGUGCUUUACAUGUGUAGGCACUAGAGUUAUUGAGUCUUUUCUUUUAUAGUGAUUGUACUACAACUUGAUGGUUAUGGAAUGAGUAUCUUUCUUAGCA